UGACAAUGAAAUUUGGCGAUUUCAAUUUCCUGCAGCAGAGUUAGAAAGGAACAUGGUGAUGAAGCUUUUGCAUUUUGUCUUUAAAUUUCCCAUAUAAUGUUUGCCCGGACAACUUUCAUUCAACCGAAUUCAAGUUAAUUAAGUAAAUGUGUAUAAACGAAA